UUACGGCGAUAUCACGUUGAAACACCGAGUCCCGUACGAUCGCCGAAGUUAAGCAACGUCGAACCUGGUCAGUAGAUGGGUGACCGCUUGAGAAUAUCAAAUGCAG